UACGUAGGGGGCAAGCGUUGUCCGGAUUUAUUGGGCGUAAAGCGCGUGUAGGCGGUCCGGUAAGUCCGCUGUGAAAGUCGGGGGCUCAACCCUCGAAUGCCGGUGGAUACUGUCGGGCUAGAGUGCGGAAGAGGCGAGUGGAAUUCCUGGUGUAGCGGUGAAAUGCGCAGAUAUCAGGAGGAACACCAAUUGCGAAGGCAGCUCGCUGGGACGUUACUGACGCUGAGACGCGAAAGCGUGGGGAGCAAACAGG
rnacentral:rRNA from 1 species